rnacentral:rRNA from 1 species
GAUUAACGCUAGCGGCAGGCAUAAUACAUGCAAGUUGAACGGCAGCACAGGUAGCAAUACUGGGUGGCGAGUGGCGCACGGGUGCGUAACACGUAUGCAACCUACCCUAUACAGGCGAAUAACCUUUAGAAAUGAGGGCUAAUACGCCGUAGUAUUACAGAUGGGCAUCUAUUUGUAAUUAAAGAUUUAUCGGUAUAGGAUGGGCAUGCGUCCCAUUAGUUAGUUGGUAAGGUAACGGCUUACCAAGACGAUGAUGGGUAGGGGAUCUGAGAGGACUUACCCCCACACUGGUACUGAGACCCGGACCAGACUCCUACGGGAGGAAGCAGUAAGGAAUAUUGGGCAAUGGCCGCGAGGCUGACCCAGCCAUGCCGCGUGCAGGAAGACGGCCUUAUGGGUUGUAAACUGCUUUUAUACGGGAAUAAUAGAGUGUACGCGUACAUUUAUGCAAGUAUCGUAUGAAUAAGCAUCGGCUAACUCCGUG